rnacentral:hammerhead_ribozyme from 1 species
AUCCAGCCGACGAGUCCCGAAUAGGACGAAACAUGCGUCCUGGAU